GGCAGCAGCUAAGAAUAUUCCGCAAUGGACGAAAGUCUGACGGAGCGACGCCGCGUGGAUGAUGAAGGCCGGAAGGUUGUAAAAUCCUUUUAUGACUGAGGAAUAAGCAGUGUGAGAGAAACGCAUUGUGGUGACUGUAGGUCAUGAAUAAGCAACGGCUAAUUACGUGCCAGCAGCCGCGGUAACACGUAAGUUGCGAGCGUUGUUCGGAAUUAUUGGGCGUAAAGGGCAUGUAGGCGGUUCUGCAAGUCUGGUGUGAAAUACCGGGGCUCAACCCCGGAACUGCGUUGGAAACUGCAGGACUUGAGUCGCUGAGGGGCAGCCAGAAUUCCAGGUGUAGGGGUGAAAUCUGUAGAUAUCUGGAAGAAUACCAAUGGCGAAGGCAGGCUGCCAGCAGAUGACUGACGCUGAGGUGCGAAGGUGCGGGGAGCAAACAGGAUUAGAUACCCUGGUAGUCCGCACAGUCAACUAUGUACACUAGGUGUCCGCACAUGAGUGUGGGUGCCGAAGCAAACGCGAUAAGUGUACCGCCUGGGGAGUAUGCCCGCAAGGGUGAAACUCAGAGGAAUUGACGG
rnacentral:rRNA from 1 species